AUUGAACGCUGGCGGCAGGCCUAACACAUGCAAGUCGAACGGUAACAGGAAACAGCUUGCUGUUUCGCUGACGAGUGGCGGACGGGUGAGUAAUGUCUGGGAAACUGCCUGAUGGAGGGGGGUAACUACUGGAAACGGUAGCUAAUACCGCAUAACGUCGCAAGACCAAAGAGGGGGACCUUCGGGCCUCCUGCCAUCGGAUGUGCCCAGAUGGGAUUAGCUAGUAGGUGGGGUAACGGCUCACCUAGGCGACGAUCCCUAGCUGGUCUGAGAGGAUGACCAGCCACACUGGAACUGAGACACGGUCCAGACUCCUACGGGAGGAAGCAGUGGGGAAUAUUGCACAAUGGGCGCAAGCCUGAUGCAGCCAUGCCGCGUGUAUGAAGAAGGCCUUCGGGUUGUAAAGUACUUUCAGCGGGGAGGAAGGGAGUAAAGUUAAUACCUUUGCUCAUUGACGUUACCCGCAGAAGAAGCACCGGCUAACUCCGUGCCAGCCGCCGCCGUAAAAC
rnacentral:rRNA from 1 species